rnacentral:rRNA from 1 species
ACGACGUCAAGUCAUCAUGGCCCUUAUGUCCUGGGCUACACACGUGCUACAAUGGCCGGUACAGAGCGCAGCGAGGCCGCGAGGCGGAAGCGAAUCGCUUAAAGCCGGUCCCAGUACGGAUUGGAGUCUGCAACCCGACUCCAUGAAGUUGGAAUCGCUAGUAAUCGCGCAUCAGCAUGGCGCGGUGAAUACGUUCCCGGGCCGUU